UGACACUGAGGUAGCUUUGUCUCAGGUAUUCCAUGGUCAGUUACUGCCUUCUUAUGCUCAUGUCACAUGCCUUGCUGAUUCAGGAGCAACGCAUGCAUUCUGCAGUCACUCAUUUGCUGUCAAGCACAAGCUGCGCAUGCGUCCAUCAGGUACCAUGCAAACAGUAAAGCUGGCAGAUAACUCCUCCUCUCUGCACAUCCUUGGAUCAGUCAACACUCAGCUUCAGYUAGGAGAUGCCCGCAUCAGCUUUGAGGCAUUCGUCGUAUCAGGUGAGACUGCCGCUUUUGACCUUAUUCUGGGAGACACUGUUUUCAGCAAAUAUGGGGCUGCUCUGCGUUACGACCCCAAGGUGCUUGAACUAAAUGUCAGAGGUUUGAAGCACCUAGUUCCCAGUGCAACAUACCCAMG
rnacentral:lncRNA from 1 species